GGAAAGCAUCUCCUUUUGGGAUACGAAUGCUCCACCUGGACAGGGGAGCAUUUUAAUUACUUCCCUUGCGGUUUCACACUUAUGUUGCAAGUGCGAACGUUCUGACUUAAUUGGUGUGAACGUUCCAAUGUGGCACCGGGGAGGUCCUCGUUUGAGAGACGAACGAGUCAGGAAACAAUCCAUACGAAUGGUGGCCACCCAGGACAAGCACUCAUUAAAUGUUUCCCUUUGCGGUUUGACACCUAUAUAAC